rnacentral:lncRNA from 1 species
CUUUAUUGAAGAGCUCUUUAAAAAAGAGGGGGGCUGAGGAUAAGAAAUUGGGGAGGCAAGAGGAAUUUUAAUGUUUUUAUUAUUAUUAUUAUUUUUUAUCUGGACUUUUUGUAUGAACUGUGCUGUUAAUGGCUUGGUGAAUUCUUGUUUGUCUCUAUGUGAAGGAAGAUGGAUGUGUGAAGAGUCACCCAAGUUCCAGGGAGAAACUGAGCAAGACAGAUUAGUCCCACCUCAGCGUGACACCUGGGGCACAUCCUUAUCUAAGGGGUGUGCAGGCAAAAUGGCUCAUUACUGUAAUCCCUUCAUGAAGAUUCCUCUCUUCGGAGAACUGCAUCACCUCUGCAAAUAUGAC